GUGGUAGCCAUGGCCAGAGUGCCUCACCCAGCCAGGGCAGGACAAAGGGAUAGCACAGUGGAGGUGGCUUUAAAUCAGGACCUGAAGAAGAGAAAUGAAAGACUGGGGAGUACUGCAGAGAAAACAGAACAUUGUUUUCUUUGAGACUUCAUUAUCAUCAAGACAUCAAGGAAAGCACCUGCAGUCCCUAAGCAGCCUUCACCUAGCCAAGGACACCCCACCCCCACCAGGGGAAGGAAGGCUGACUGACUGCUGCCCCUCAUCAUUGCUGCCUGCAUUGUGGGAGAACACAGGCUGGAUGAGUGGACCCUUUGAAGACACCACACUAUGCAAACCCUACCUGUGCAGACCAACAGCAGCAUGGGACUGCUUCUAAAUGCAGGGUCACACCCCACUGAAACCUGCAUUUCAAUGAGAUCCAAAUUGCGUGUGCUCCUUGGGGUUUGAAAGCUGUGGGCUAGAGCAUGUGUAUGCCCCCACUCCAACUGGAGGAAAAACCAAAUUCCCUACAGCUCUCAAUCAUAAGCCUGACCCCAUCGCAGUAAACAAUGCUGAUGGUGGAGAUGCCAGGCUGCCAGAGAUUAAGGGAAAUGCCACUGUUUUCCUCAGCAUGUAAGAAGCAAAGCUGAUCAGCCUGAUUCCCGUAGAUGCUGUGGAUUCCCUGGAAGCACACAGGAGGUGAGCUGCUCCCAGUGCACAAGAGGAGGCUUCCAGACCGCCAUACCACCCCCGUCAUUACACAAGAGGUGAGCCACUCCCAGCGCACAAGAGGAGGCUUCCUGGCCACCAUACCACCCCCGCCAGCACACAGGAGGUGAACCGGGAGGGCGCCAACAGCAAUCGCCCUACCCAGUCGAAAUGAGAACACACAUAAAUAAGUCUCAAAAUCAGACUUUCAGAUCAACUACAGCAACCCCAAAGGGAAAUGAGAUGGAACACUCUGAUACUCAACCACCUGGAUUCCCUGAACUGGCAACAAAAGAGGAUCUGGAAAAAAAUGAUAUCAGAAAUAAUUUCGCAGGUAACAGCAGAGAUUGUGCUCAUAGUGAAAGACAAUAAAUCUAAAGAGGAACUCAGGAACAUGAUGGAAUCCCAACAUAGGAAACAAAUGGAAUUAAUAAAACAGAUGCAAACAGAUUGCCAGGAGAUUAAAAACUCCACUGAGAGUCUACAC
ensembl:lncRNA